UUCGCCGGAGGUCAGGCUAAGGUAGGAAGGUCCCGCAUAUAAGGAAUAAGUAGUGGAAAAAGGAAGAGGAGAAGAGAAACGAUGAGAGGUAGAAGAAGAGAGAGUGAUGUGAGAAGUAUUAGAAAAGAGAGAGAGAGAGUGAGAGAGAGAGAGGGGGAGAUGAAAGAGGAAGAAAGACUGACAGUCAAAGCAGAGGGGGAGGCAUCGCUUUAUCAGACAAGACAAGGGCGAGAGAGGAGAGAGAAUGGGUGGAGAAGGGUAGGUGGAAGCUAUUGGUUCAAUAUGGUCAGUUGACCGGAUGUUACGCUCAGUCGACCGUUGAGAUGAUCUGAGCUGGGUUCAAAUAUCUUGAU
rnacentral:lncRNA from 1 species